rnacentral:tRNA from 1 species
GGCCCCGUAGUAUAAUGGAUAUUAUAUGGGUUUCCGGAGCCUAGGAUCCAGGUUCGAUUCCUGGCGGGGUCAC